rnacentral:rRNA from 1 species
UACGUAGGGGGCAAGCGUUGUCCGGAUUUAUUGGGUUUAAAGGGUGCGUAGGCGGUUCUAUAUGUCAGUGGUGAAAUCCGGCAGCUCAACUGUCGAUGUGCCAUUGAUACUGCAGAACUUGAGUACGGACGAGGUAGGCGGAAUUGACGGUGUAGCGGUGAAAUGCUUAGAUAUCGUCAAGAACACCGAUAGCGAAGGCAGCUUACUAGACUGUAACUGACGCUGAUGCACGAAAGUGUGGGGAUCAAACAGG